UUUGGGCUUUUUUUUUUAAAAUUUUGUUAAUUUAUUAAUAAGAAUUAGUUUAUUAGUUGGGUGGUAAGGUGUUUAUUAAUUUACUCUUUGGUCUUAUUUAGGUCCCUUUGCAAGCAAAUUGGAAUUAUUUUUGCUAAUUGGUGAUAUCGCCUAGGUGGAGGAAGUUGGAUGGGAUUGAAAUUCUAGGGGAGUUUCUUUAGGGAUGAUAUCUGAUUCAGUGGGUAGGUUUUAUUUGAUUUUAGAUUUUUUUUAAAUUUCCUAAAAUUCUGCUAUCUGCUCCCAUUGUUUUCCCAAACUUCUUUCACGUUAUUUUCUUCUUCGUUCUCCUUCUUGUGUCGUUUUCAUUUUCUUUUCUUGUCUCUUGUUCUUGUGAUUUUAUUUUUGCGUUCUAUCAUCGCUGUUGUUCUGCAUUUUGUCAUGCCGUUAGUCUUUCGAACGAUUUUGGGUAAGUGUUCUUUACUGUGUUGUUAUAAAAGAUUUUGGGGUUUUGAUUUGGGAUUUUUCUUUGUGAUGGGUUUCUAUUAAUGGUGAAAUCUUUCGUUCUAGGAGAGGAACGUAUGGUGUUAGACGAACCUCCAGCGAAUUAAGUCUUCUAGUCAGUUUGGGCUGCUCGCUGCUGUUAUUCAUAUGGUAAGUAUGCGUAUAUGGAAUUUGGGAUUGUUUUCCCUUAAGAAAAAAGUGGAUUUAAUUGGAUUUAGUGUGAUUAAAUCGAAGUUGUAAUCGUUGUGUUUUGGUGUCGUUUGUUGGAUUCAAAGUGAUUGAUUGAGUGGUGAACUAGAAUUAGUACCAUGUGUGGGAAACUAAUCCGAAAUUUCACUCGAAACUCGAGAAAAUUGUGAAACAAUGGCAGUUUUAAAACUGCCCAAUGCCACAAGUACGUGUGUCAGGUAUAUGAUUAAAUAGCUUGUGUAAUAGGCCAUGUGAACACAUGGGCUAAGUUUUUAGGUCAUGUGGGCCAGCCGUAUGGGCCUUUUGCCCCAAUUUUGAGGCUUGAAUAGGGGCCGGUUAAGGGACUCAGAAAUUGGGUCCUUAGACAUUAUGUAGUCCCGAAAAAGCGUAAGUUUCAAAUAGGUAUGUGUAGGAAGCAUAUUAAGUAGGUUUCGGUAAGUAUAUUAAUAUCAUAUGAUAUGAUAUGCUUUAUAAGUAUUUACGUAAACCAUGCAAGUUACAUGAUUUGUGAGUACCUUAUGCUAUGUUAUGUUCCGUAUAAAAAGGUAUGUGUAUGCAUGCCAUACGAUCUAAGUUAUAUGUAUGUACAAUAUUCUGUCUAUGUUUUGGGGUGGGAUUGAUAUGAUGGAGGAAAUGCUACAUGGCAAUAUCUACUGCAAUUAUAGCGGCUAGAUUGCAAAUUUCUUUUUGGUAGCUCAGCUGCGUAUUUAUGAGUGGUGUACUGCCAUGUACUAAUGUGAUUGGACGGAUGAACUCUUGUAGUUUUAAUUGGUGUGGUUGAUUGAAUGGAGAUGGUGUGUAGAGGAUGGAAGUAGGAUGUGGUAUGAGAUGAUAUAUUAUAAGAUAUGUUCUAACAUGAAAUUUGAUAUGAUAUGUAUAAGAUAUGUUUUGAAAUGGAAUCUGAUAUGCUAUGAUACGUUCUGGUAUAUAUUUAUAUUGUUUUGUUUGUGUGGGACAUAUCACACACUGGGCGUAAAGUUCACGUGUUUGUUUGUUUCAUUUCAGGUGAUCUUCAGACUUAGCAUUGGACAGCGAUACAGGACCUCGGUUUCCACGCUUUUGGUUUAGUACGUUCCGGACUGAUAUUUUUUAUGGACUUUUACAGACUUUUGGAACGUUUUAAUUUUGUUUGGGAUUUCAAAUUUUAUUUUGGUGUUUGGUUCUGUAAAAAUUAUGGUUUUUAAUCAGUAUUUAAAACAAGACGACAAAAAAUAAACUAGGGAUAAAUAAGACCAAGUUGCUAAAAGGGUUUCGAAGCCAAAUUUUGUUGAAAUUCGCUAGAAUGUUUUGUUUCGUAAAGAAUUAAGUAAGUUGGAUCUGUUUUAGUAAAAGCUAUUAAAUAGGGGUUUUACCUCAAAAUACUCACGGGUUUUCGAAAAUCGAUACGUUUUCUAUAAGAUAUAUGAAAUUGGAUUUUCUUAAAGUUGGAAGAGGUUUUCACCAAAACUUAAGCAUUAGCGUUUUCAGUAAUGAUGUAACCUCCACAAUCUGACCGUAAUAUCUAGGUCAGAUUUAGGAUGUUACACUUUAACGACAUAUUAUUAUGAAAGCAAUUUAAUUACUGCUUGUUCAGUGACUUUGUUAAAAGUUGUUACCCUCUUGGGAUGCAGUUAAUCUCUUUGGGAUAAUAUUUGUUCUCUCAAUAUACGAAAUAGAAACAUUAAUUGCAUAUUUUGAUCACUUUUUAAAUUCUUAAACUUUUCAUUUAGUCUUAAAUAAAAUUAUUUUUUAAGACUUUUAUAUAUUUUUAUUUACCCUAUUAAAAUUCUCAUUUAUCCGCAUUGUUAUUUAACUGAAAAUCUGUAGAAAUGUAUUAAAUAUUAAUCGGAUAUUGGCAAAUUGGCCAUGUGAAAUUUUUUUGAAAAAUAUUUAUAUUAAAAAUAAAUAAAAUUUUAGUUGAAAGGAUAAAUUUGAGACAUUGAAUAGCAUAGUGUUUUAGGUUUAAAUUCUAUGUUGCAUGUAUUUUUUUUUCUAAAUUAUUUAUAUAAUAAAACACUUUCAUAGUAAAAUUUACUUUGUAAAAAAAAGAGUGUCAAUAAUUUUCUAAAUUUAUUUAUAUUAUAUAAUAAACAUUUGAUUAAAUUAGUGUCGUGACUCAAUCGACCACUAAUUAAUUGUAUAAUAAUAGAAUAUUCUUACUUUACAAAGUAACUUAUAUUAUUUUGAUGGUAUUUUUGUCACUCUAAAUCUUUUAUAUACAAAAAAUAUAAAAAUAUUCCUAUAUAAUUAGAUUUGAAUCCAUGUUUAUAAUUCUGAUACUUUAAACUUUAUUAUUCAAUUAAAAUCUCAUUUGUUAUUUUUAUCAAAUUUUAAUAAAUAUAAUUAUUAAAUAAUUCUUUUCUUUUAUCUAUAAUUGUAGGCGUAGAUAGCAACUGCAGAUUUGGUUGACCCAAGGCGAGGAUGGAAGCUUUUAAAGCCCACUGUCCAAUGGGCCCCAAAAUCAUGUGCGCAAUCUUUAUUUAUAUCACAGUGACAAUCAUAUGUGGAAGGCCGGUGCUUGAUAUAUCAAUAUUUGAACAGACAAGGCGACUGGGAUUGGUUAGAGAUAUAAGGGAUUGUCGGCCACGUAUCUACUGAUACCACAGCAGUCUUUUGUUUUCUUUUAGACGAUCGAGCCACGAUUUCAAAUAAAAUAUUCUAUUAUUAUAUUUCCUAUUAAUCGAAUAUGAUUUUAACCACUGACUAUGCAUCUACGAAGCACUUCAGUUUUUCUUUCAACUGCAAUCAUGUCUUGGUGCAAACAUUUCAAACCCCAACACUAAACUAUAUAUUAUACAUGAC
rnacentral:lncRNA from 1 species